CUGGAUGCGAUGAGGACCAAAACCAGGGUAGAUAGCAGCUGUCGCAGCUUUUUAAAAAGCGGUAUAAAUGCUGAAAAUGAUCUACAGAGCAGUAUUAAGAGGGAGAGGUAGCUGCAGGUGUGAAACCGAAUCGGGACGCUGGGAUGGCAUCAUGGCAGGAAUACAUCCCCCAAGAAAAACAACGUCGUCCCUCGACAGCGUCAUUCACUCAGAGAGCCAAUCAGAAACACCAUGCUCCUUUUGCCCAGAGGUGAUUGGUCAAUCUCCAACCAGUGGCCUGCUUUGGCCCGUCCUCCUUCCUUGAUAACCCCCUGCGGGACAAACGACAGUGGACAGCCCCGUGAGCGCACACCCCUGAAAGCCUGCCUUCCAGUUAAUGACGGGAAGAGAGAAGAACGGCAGCAGAAAAGUUCCUACGGAGAUGCUAUCGAGGAGGCGGCCUGGCGUGGAGAAGAUAACGGCGG